AACCAGCACCUCAAGUGGUCAGGAUGAUUAUUGGGCCUAAAGCAUCCGUAGCCUGUUUUGUAAGUCUUCGGUUAAAUCCAUCAACUCAAGUGAUGGGCUGCCGGAGAUACUGCAAAACUAGGGAGUGGGUUUUUUUUACGUUACUCGGUAGGAAGUGGUAAAAUGCUUUGAUCUAUCGAUGACCACCUGUGGCGAAGGCGGUCUACCAGAACACGUCCGACGGUGAGGGAUGAAAGCUGGGGGAGCAAACCGG
rnacentral:rRNA from 1 species